rnacentral:rRNA from 1 species
GAUGAACGCUGGCGGCGUGCCUAAUACAUGCAAGUCGAGCGAACAGAUAAGGAGCUUGCUCCUUUGACGUUAGCGGCGGACGGGUGAGUAACACGUGGGUAACCUACCUAUAAGACUGGAAUAACUCCGGGAAAACGGGGCUAAUGCCGGAUAACAUUUAGAACCGCAUGGUUCUAAAGUGAAAGAUGGUUUUGCUAUCACUUAUAGAUGGACCCGCGCCGUAUUAGCUAGUUGGUAAGGUAACGGCUUACCAAGGCAACGAUACGUAGCCGACCUGAGAGAGUGAUCGGCCACACUGGAACUGAGACACGGUCCAGACUCCUACGGGAGGCAGCAGUAGGGAAUCUUCCGCAAAGGGCGAAAGCCUGACGGAGCAACGCCGCGUGAGUGAUGAAGGUCUUCGGAUCGUAAAACUCUGUUAUUAGGGAAGAACAAAUGUGUAAGUAACUGUGCACGUCUUGACGGUACCUAAUCAGAAAGCCACGGCUAACUACGUG